UCUUUGGUGACUUGUUUGUGGUGAUGUCUAGGCCUCUUAGCCUUGAGAGAAAGGAAAGGAACUUGGGAACUUAUCCACAGCAAAUUAUGU
rnacentral:pre_miRNA from 1 species